AAUUUAAGAAUUAAUAAAUUUAUAUUUAAUAAAAAUAAUUUUAAUUUAAUAAAUAUUUUAAUGGGGGUUAAAGUAUUUUUUAAAGAAAAAAUUUUUAAUUUUAUAGUAUAAUAGUAUUGUGUAAGAAUUUUGAAAUAAUUGAAAAUUUAAUUUUAAUAAAGUAAUUUUUAUUUGGUGUAUCUUGUGUAUCAGAGUUUAUUAAAAAUUUUUAAUUUUUAAAUUAAUUUCUCGAAUUUAAAAGAGUUAAGUAAUUAUUAAAUUUAUUGUUGCAAAAAUAUUUUAAAUAAUUAUUUAGAAAUGAAAUGUUAAUCGUUUUUAAAUAUAUCUAGUUUUUAUAGAAAAAAUUUUAAUUUUAAAUUUAAUUUUAUUAUUUAAUUAAUUAAUUAAUUAGAUAAUUAUUUAAAUUUUAUAUUUUAAGGGAUAAGCUUUAAAUUAAAUUUUUAUAAUAAAAAAAUAUUUAUUUUUGAAAAUUUUAUAAUUUAUAUUGUUAAUAAAUUUUAUUUUAUUAUAAAUAAUUUCAUUUUGUUAAAAAAUUUAAAUUUUUAUUUAAUUUUUUAUAUAAAAUUUAUUUUUAAUUGUUAAAAAUUAAUUAUAAUGAUAAAAUUAGUAUAUUAUAUUUUAAAAAUUAUUUUUAAUUUGAGUUUUUAUUAUUUAAUUUAAUUAAUUAAAAGGAAUUCGGCAAAUAUUUAUUUUCACUUGUUUAUCAAAAACAUGUCUUUUUGUUGAUUUAUUUAAAGUUUAAUUUGCCCCCUGAUUUUAAUUGAAGGGCUGCAGUAUUUUGACUGUACAAAGGUAGCAUAAUCAUUAGUCUUUUAAUUGGUGACUUGUAUGAAAGAUUGGAUGAGAAAUAUACUGUCUCUUAAUUAAUAUAUAGAAUUUAAUUUUUUAUUUAAAAAGUUAAAAUAAAUUAAAAAGACGAGAAGACCCUAUAGAGUUUAAUAAAUUUUUUUUUAUGAUAACUUUAUUUGUAUUAAAUUGAAAUAAUUUUAUAAAUUUAUUUAUUUUAUUGGGGUGAUAGAAAAAUAAAUUUAACUUUUUUUAAAAAAUUUAACAAAAAUAUAUGAUUAAAUGAUCCAGUUUAUUAUUGAUUAAAAGAUUAAAUUACCUUAGGGAUAACAGCGUAAUUUUUUUUUUUAGUUCGAAUAAUAAAAAAAGUUUGCGACCUCGAUGUUGGAUUAAGAUAAAAUUUAAAUGUAAAAGUUUAAAAUUUUUGAUCUGUUCGAUCAUUAAAAUCUUACAUGAUCUGAGUUCAAACCGGUGUAAGCCAGGUUGGUUUCUAUCUUUUAAAAAAAUUAUAUAUUUUAGUACGAAAGGAUCAAAUAUUUUAAUUAAAUUAUAGGUAAUUAAUGAAUUUUAUUAAGUUUUGUUUAAUUUUUAAAUUGUUUUUAUUAUUAAUUUAUUUUUAUUAAAAAUUAUAUGAUGAAUAAUAAUAUGUAAUUUUAAUGCUAUU
rnacentral:rRNA from 1 species